GCUCUUGUGGUGAAAUGGUGAGACACGAUAAACUUAAAAAUUUAUCACCCUUCGGGUAAACAUUGUGGGUUCGAAUCCCACCUUGAGCA
rnacentral:tRNA from 1 species